rnacentral:rRNA from 1 species
UACAGAGGGUGCGAGCGUUGUCCGGAAUCACUGGGCGUAAAGGGCGCGUAGGCGGCGGGGUCAGUCGGGUGUGAAAUCUUGGGGCUUAACCCCGAAACGGCACUCGAAACUGCCCGGCUGGAGGGCCGGAGAGGAGAUCGGAAUUCACGGUGUAGCAGUGAAAUGCGUAGAGAUCGUGAGGAAGACCCGUGGCGAAGGCGGAUCUCUGGACGGCUAACUGACGCUGAGGCGCGAAGGCCAGGGGAGCAAACGGG